rnacentral:tRNA from 1 species
GCGGGGAUAGCUCAGUUGGGAGAGCGUCAGACUGAAGUUACAACUUCGGUUCUCACAUACAUCUGAAGGUCGUGCGUUCGAUCCGCACUCACCGCA